rnacentral:rRNA from 1 species
UACGAAGGGUGCAAGCGUUAAUCGGAAUUACUGGGCGUAAAGCGUGCGUAGACGGUUUCUUAAGUCUGCUGUGAAAGCCCCGGGCUCAACCUGGGAAUGGCGGUGGAUACUGAGGAGCUGGAGUACGGUAGAGGAAGGUGGAAUUCCCGGUGUAGCGGUGAAAUGCGCAGAUAUCAGGAGGAACACCGAUGGCGAAGGCAGCUCGCUGGGACGGUACUGACGCUGAGACGCGAAAGCGUGGGGAGCAAACAGG